UACUAAAAAAUACAAAAAAUUAGCCGGGCGUGGUGGCAGGGCGCCUGUAGUCCCAGCUACUCGGGAGGCUGAGGCAGAAGAAUGGCGUGANNNNNNNNNNUACUCGGGAGGCUGAGGCAGGAGAAUCGCUUGAGCCUGGGAGGUGGAGGUUGUGGUGAGCUGAGAUCACGCCACUGCACUCCAGCCUGGGUGACAGAGCAAGACUCCAUCUCAGUCCCCCACCCCCGCCACAAAAAAAUAUUUCUCACAGUUCUGGAACCUGGAAGUCCAAGAUCAAGGUGCUGGCCCAUAUGGUGUCUGGUGAGGAUCAUUUUCCUGGUUCAUAGAUGGUGCCUUCUUGCUGUGUCCUCACGUGGCAGCAGGGGUGAGGGAGAUCUUUGGGGCCUCUUGUAUAAGGGUAAUAAUCCCAUUCAUUAGGGUUCCACUCCCCAUGAGUUAAUCACCCCAUAAAGGCCCCACCUCCUAAUACCUCACUUUGGGGGUUAGGAUUUCAACAUAUGAAUUUGGGGGCAGGGGGUUUAAACAUCUAGGUAAUAGCAUAUUUUUUCUGUUCUUGCCUCAGAAUCCUUAAAGUAGCACACCCAGUAGCCUGUAUUGAACGGUAGCUGCUCACUUGUGAAUUGAAAUGUAUUUGCCGCUUCUACAGUUCUCAGAUAUUACUAUUGCCAUUCUUUGACCCACUUAUUUGAGAGAAGUAAAGUGUUUACUUUAGGGUCCCAUCAUGGGUGGCAUCCCCUCUAGUGGAUUUCAUCCUCCAAUCAAAUACAUGCAUCAGUGUGCCAGGUGCCCAAUGAUGACAUGGUCCCAAUUAAUAUACUAGGUUCUCAAAUAGAGGCACCUAAAUCGAGUCUGAAUUUAACUAAGAAUUAUUGGCAAAAAAGGAAUUCAUCAUUUGAAACGUUAGAUUUGGAAGUGUCUUAAUAUAUGAAAUUCUAGGUCUCAUCGUGAAGAAAUAUUUUAACAGCAAAUCUUCCGUGACUUCUCUGAUGACCUCUCCUUUUUCUUCUUCUUGUUCUUUUUCUUCCCUUGUCGUCUAUUCCUCAGACUUACCCCCACUUAAAAAGAAUUCUUUCUUUUAGCUUCUCUUUUUCAUAUAAUUAAAAGCAGAUAAAAACAACUCUUUAUUUCAUUGCUUUUUCAUAGCUACG
rnacentral:lncRNA from 1 species